CUUGAACGCUGGCGGCAUGCUUUACACAUGCAAGUCGAACGGCAGCGCGGGCUUCGGCCUGGCGGCGAGUGGCGAACGGGUGAGUAAUGCAUCGGAACGUGCCCAGUAGUGGGGGAUAGCCCGGCGAAAGCCGGAUUAAUACCGCAUACGACCUGAGGGUGAAAGCGGGGGACCGAAAGGCCUCGCGCUAUUGGAGCGGCCGAUGUCGGAUUAGCUAGUUGGUGGGGUAAAGGCUUACCAAGGCGACGAUCCGUAGCUGGUCUGAGAGGACGACCAGCCACACUGGGACUGAGACACGGCCCAGACUCCUACGGGAGGCAGCAGUGGGGAAUUUUGGACAAUGGGGGCAACCCUGAUCCAGCCAUGCCGCGUGCGGGAAGAAGGCCUUCGGGUUGUAAACCGCUUUUGUUCGGGAAGAAAUCCUCUGGGCUAAUACCCCGGGGGGAUGACGGUACCGGAAGAAUAAGCACCGGCUAACUACGUG
rnacentral:rRNA from 1 species